GAUGAACGCUGGCGGCGUGCCUAAUACAUGCAAGUCGAGCGAACAGAUGAGGAGCUUGCUCCUCUGACGUUAGCGGCGGACGGGUGAGUAACACGUGGAUAACCUACCUAUAAGACUGGGAUAACUUCGGGAAACCGGAGCUAAUACCGGAUAAUAUAUUGAACCGCAUGGUUCAAUAGUGAAAGACGGUUUUGCUGUCACUUAUAGAUGGAUCCGCGCCGCAUUAGCUAGUUGUUAAGGUAACGGCUUACCAAGGCAACGAUGCGUAGCCGACCUGAGAGGGGGAUCGGCCACACUGGAACUGAGACACGGUCCAGACUCCUACGGGAGGCAGCAGUAGGGAAUCGUCCGCAAUGGGCGAAAGCCUGACGGAGCAACGCCGCGUGAGUGAUGAAGGUCUUCGGAUCGUAAAACUCUGUUAUUAGGGAAGAACAAAUGUGUAAGUAACUAUGCACGUCUUGACGGUACCUAAUCAGAAAGCCACGGCUAACUACGUG
rnacentral:rRNA from 1 species